rnacentral:misc_RNA from 1 species
UCUCCGUUGGUGAACCAGCGGAGGGAUCAUUACCGAGUUUACAACUCCCAAACCCCUGUGAACUUAUACCUUUACUGUUGCUUCGGCGGGUCAUUGCCCCGGGGAAACAGGCGGCCGUCAGGUCCCUGCCCACCCGGAAACAGGCGCCCGCCGGGGGACUCAAACUCUUCUGUAUUUUUUUGUUUACUGUAUACUGUCUGAGUAAAAAUUCAUAAUGAAUCAAAGCUUUCAACAACGGAUCUCUUGGUUCUG